rnacentral:misc_RNA from 1 species
CAGAGUUCAUGCCCUUACGGGUAGAUCUCCCACCCUAUGUUAUUCUCACUUUGUUGCUUUGGCGGGCCGCUGGGCUCACGCCCGGCCACCGGCUCCGGCUGGUGAGCGCCCGCCAGAGAACCCCAAACCCUGAUUAUUAGUGUCGUCUGAGUACUAUAUAAUAGUUA